rnacentral:lncRNA from 14 species
ACCACCGUGUUCCUGGUGCAGCCAGUAGUGGCAUUAUAUAUGACUUCUGUUUAGAAGCUGGAGUCAGUGAUUCUCCCAUGAAUCUGAGACCAUCAGCUCUCCCCGGUGGAGUAUUGAUUUCCACGAAAUAGUCUUCAUGCAGCCAUCUUUGCUCAAAAAUCACAUAAAGAAAUACUCUUCUUUAAAAAUAAUUCCUGUUCCUGCCAUCUUCUACUGGAAAUUAAUAGCAUUGCCAUUGGUAUGAGAGGUCUUUGGGGCUGCAGGACCAACAGUGAAGCUCCUGCUGACUCAGCUAGGAGAAGGAAUGUCAGAGCGCUGCCAAUGAGGAGCACUUCAUGUGUCUGGGAAGAAAACUGGGGGUCAAGAUUCAUAUUUCUUUUGCCAGAGCAUAGGCCGAACUUCCAGGAUGUCUUAUUUGGAGCUGAUGCCUGUGUUGGAGCCUGCAAUGUUUGGAUGGAAAAAUUAGUCAUGUCAGCUCUGCCUUAAAUCCUGGAACUGUUUUAAAUAAACCUUUCUUCUCUUCCUGUAACA